UACAGAGGUCUCAAGCGUUGUUCGGAUUCAUUGGGCGUAAAGGGUGCGUAGGUGGCGCCGUAAGUCGGGUGUGAAAUUUCGGAGCUUAACUCCGAAACUGCAUUCGAUACUGCGGUGCUUGAGGACUGGAGAGGAGACUGGAAUUCAUGGUGUAGCAGUGAAAAUGCGUAGAGAUCAUGAGGAAGACCAGUGGCGAAGGCGGGUCUCUGGACAGUUCCUGACACUGAGGCACGAAGGCCAGGGGAGCAAAACGGG
rnacentral:rRNA from 1 species